GAUGAACGCUAGCUACAGGCUUAACACAUGCAAGUCGAGGGGUAGCAGGGUAGCAAUACCGCUGACGACCGGCGCACGGGUGAGUAACACGUAUCCAACCUUCCCAUAACUCUGGGAUAGCCUUUCGAAAGAAAGAUUAAUACCGGAUGGUACUUAUAUAAGGCAUCUUAAAUAAGUUAAAGAUUUAUUGGUUAUGGAUGGGGAUGCGUUCCAUUAGAUAGUUGGUGAGGUAACGGCUCACCGAGUCUUCGAUGGAUAGGGGUUCUGAGAGGAAGGUCCCCCACAUUGGUACUGAGACACGGACCAAACUCCUACGGGAGGCAGCAGUGAGGAAUAUUGGUCAAUGGGCGAGAGCCUGAACCAGCCAAGUAGCGUGAAGGAUGAAGGUCCUAUGGAUUGUAAACUUCUUUUAUAGUAGAAUAAAGUGAUCCACGUGUGGAUUUUUGUAUGUAUACUAUGAAUAAGGAUCGGCUAACUCCGUGCCAGCAGCCGCCGCCGUAA
rnacentral:rRNA from 1 species